UUGCAUGAGGGAUGGAAAUGACAUCUCCCGAUUUAGAAAAACAAGGCUUUUUUAGCCGUAGUUUUUGUUAAUCGGGAAUAUAAUGGACAGCCCGACCCUUG
rnacentral:sRNA from 1 species